GUGUCUCGGUGGGUAGGUAGGUGGGUAGCUGUGGAGUGGUCGAUGUUGGUGUUGGUUGGCGGGGUUGCGGUGUUAGUGGUGGAUCGGUGGGUGUGGCGUUGGCCCCCGGAUGCGGCGCGAAUGGCUACUUCUUAGAGGGACAAGCGGGAGAAGCCGCACGAAAUAGAGCAAUAACAGGUCUGUGAUGCCCUUAGAUGUCCGGGGCCGCACGCGCGCUACAAUGACGGUGUCAACGAGUGAGGCCUUCUGGCCCGAAAGGGUCGGGUAAACUGGUCAAUCACCGUCGUGACAGGGAUCGGGGCUUGCAAUUGUUCCCCGUGAACGAGGAAUUCCUAGUAAGUGCAAGUCAUAAGCUUGCGCUGAUUACGUCCCUGCCCUUUGUACACACCGCCCGUCGCUACUACCGAUUGAAUGGUUUAGUAAGGUCCUUGGAUUGGCGCCAUUGUGGUGGGCGCCGAGAGGUGCUCACUC
rnacentral:rRNA from 1 species